AUUGAACGCUGGCGGCAUGCCUUACACAUGCAAGUCGAACGGCAGCACGGGAGCAAUCCUGGUGGCGAGUGGCGAACGGGUGAGUAAAGUAUCAGAACGUGCCCAGUCGUGGGGGAUAACGUAGCGAAAGUUACGCUAAUACCGCAUACGAUCUACGGAUGAAAGCGGGGGAUCGCAAGACCUCGCGCGAUUGGAGCGGCGGAUAUCAGAUUAGGUAGUUGGUGGGGUAAAGGCUCACCAAGCCGACGAUCUGUAGCUGGUCUGAGAGGACGACCAGCCACACUGGGACUGAGACACGGCCCAGACUCCUACGGGAGGCAGCAGUGGGGAAUUUUGGACAAUGGGCGCAAGCCUGAUCCAGCCAUGCCGCGUGCAGGAUGAAGGCCUUCGGGUUGUAAACUGCUUUUGUACGGAACGAAAAGGUUUGGCCUAAUAAGCUGGACCCAUGACGGUACCGUAAGAAUAAGCACCGGCUAACUACGUGCCAGCCGCCGCCGUAACAC
rnacentral:rRNA from 1 species